rnacentral:lncRNA from 1 species
AGAUAUUACACAAGCGCCGUCAUUGGGAUAAAUAUAAAAAAAAAUUAAACCAUUAAGUUAAUAUUUGUGUAAUAAAAACAUGAAAAUUCUCUUUUUUUUUCAUUGAACAAAUCGUCCUUCUUUGAUUCCUUGUUGCCCGAUACCCUUGCAAACUCGUUUUACCAUCUUCAAAAUCGGAACCCAGAAAUCCCGAUUCCUUGUGUGUUCGAUUCUUUAGUGCAAACCUUAGCUUACACACUCAUUCCAUAUGCAAAAUCAUGAAACCUCUCUGUGAACCCAUAAAUUACGAACUCUUGCGAAUUCAUCUUUUUUUUUCCCUUCUCUGCGCCGAAUCAAUAAUCGCAAACCCUCGCGAACACUCAACUUAACCGUAGAAAACAACAGUCAUCGCCGACCUUCUUUCCCCCAUUGAACAAAUAAGAGGAAUUUAUAUUGGUGAAAAAUAGAGCAAAAUAGAGGAAUGUAUGUAAUUGCAUAUGUUUUGAUUUGGAUUAGAGUCUCUCUUAGUGCUGAGUUCUAC